rnacentral:rRNA from 1 species
AUUGAACGCUGGCGGCAGGCCUAACACAUGCAAGUCGAGCGGAUGAAGGGAGCUUGCUCCUGGAUUCAGCGGCGGACGGGUGAGUAAUGCCUAGGAAUCUGCCUUGUAGUGGGGGAUAACGUCCGGAAACGGGCGCUAAUACCGCAUACGUCCUGAGGUAGAAAGUGGGGGAUCUUCGGACCUCACGCUAUCAGAUGAGCCUAGGUCGGAUUAGCUAGUUGGUGGGGUAAAGGCCUACCAAGGCGACGAUCCGUAACUGGUCUGAGAGGAUGAUCAGUCACACUGGAACUGAGACACGGUCCAGACUCCUACGGGAGGCAGCAGUGGGGAAUAUUGGACAAUGGGCGAAAGCCUGAUCCAGCCAUGCCGCGUGUGUGAAGAAGGUCUUCGGAUUGUAAAGCACUUUAAGUUGGGAGGAAGGGCAGUAAGUUAAUACCUUGCUGUUUUGACGUUACCAAAAGAAUAAGCACCGGCUAACUUCGUG